AUACAUAUAAAUAAUGGCGUCAUCGGGCAUUGAUAUAUAGAGAUAAU
rnacentral:guide_RNA from 1 species